rnacentral:rRNA from 1 species
UACGAAGGGUGCAAGCGUUGUUCGGAUUUAUUGGGCGUAAAGCGCGCGCAGGCGGAUUGGCAAGUCAGGUGUGAAAUCUCGAGGCUUAACCUCGAAAGUGCGCCUGAAACUGCGAGUCUAGAAUAUCGGAGAGGGAAGGGGAAUUUCUCAUGUAGGGGUAAAAUCCGUAGAUAUGAGAAGGAACACCAGAGGCGAAGGCGCCUUCCUAGACGAUUAUGACGCUGAGGCGCGAAAGCGUGGGGAGCAAACAGG